rnacentral:rRNA from 1 species
CGGCGGACGGGUGAGUAACACGUGGAUAACCUACCUAUAAGACUGGGAUAACUUCGGGAAACCGGAGCUAAUACCGGAUAAUAUAUUGAACCGCAUGGUUCAAUAGUGAAAGACGGUUUUGCUGUCACUUAUAGAUGGAUCCGCGCCGCAUUAGCUAGUUGGUAAGGUAAGGGCUUACCAAGGCAACGAUGCGUAGCCGACCUGAGAGGGUGAUCGGCCACACUGGAACUGAGACACGGUCCAGACUCCUACGGAGGCAGCAGGC